rnacentral:rRNA from 1 species
CCCUAUGGGGUGCAGCAGGCGCGAAACCUUUACAAUGCACGAAAGUGUGAUAAGGGGAUCCUACGUGCUCAUGCAUAGCAUGGGCUUUUGCCAAGUGUAAAUAGCUUGGAGAAUAAGUGGUGGGUAAGACUGGUGCCAGCCGCCGCGGUAACACCAGCGCCACGAGUGGCAAUCGGCUUUAUUGGGCCUAAAGCGUCCGUAGCCGGACAAGUACAUCCUUUGUGAAAUCACCGGGCUUAACCUGGUGGCGUGCAGGGGACACGGCUUGUCUUGGGAGCGGGAGAAGUGAGAGGUACUCAAGGGGGACCGGUAAAAUGGUAUAAUCCCUUGAGGACCACCGAUGGCGAAGGCAUCUCACUAGAACGCGUCCGACGGUGAGGGACGAAAGCCAGGGGAGCGAACCGGAUUAGAUACCCGAGUAGUCCUGGCCGUAAACGCUGCGAGCUAGGUGUUGCACCUUCCUAGAGGAGUUGCAGUAUCGAAGCGAAGGCGAUAAGCUCGCCGCCUGGGGAGUACGGUCGCAAGGCUGAAACUUAAAGGAAUUGGCGGGGGCGCACCACAAGGGGUGCGGCGUGCGGUUUAAUCUAAUUCAACACAGAGAAUCUCACUAGGGGCGACGGCGAGAUGAUGGUCAGUCUGAAGGCUUACCGGAUGAGCCGAGAGGAGUGCAUGGCCA